rnacentral:rRNA from 1 species
ACUCCUACGGGAGGCUGCAGUCGAGAAUCUUCCGCAAUGCGCGCAAGCGUGACGGAGCGACGCCGCGUGGGUGACGAAGGCCUUCGGGUUGUAAAACCCUGUCAGCUGUUAUGAAAGGCGGGCGAUGAACAAUUGUCCCGCUUGACGUAAGCAGCAGAGGAAGCACCGGCUAACUACGUGCCAGCAGCCGCGGUAAUACGUAGGGUGCGAACGUUGUUCGGAAUCACUGGGCAUAAAGGGCGUGUAGGCGGUCGUACAAGUCAGAUGUGAAAGCCCCCGGCCUAACCGGGGAACUGCAUUUGAUACUGUGCGGCUAGAGUGCAGGGGGGGAGAGUGGAAUUCCUGGUGGAGCGGUGAAAUGCGUAGAUAUCAGGAGGAGCGCCGGUGGCGAAAGCGACUCUCUGGCCUGCAACUGACGCUGAGGCGCGAAAGCUAGGGGAGCAAACGGGAUUAGAUACCCCGGUAGUCCUAGCCCUAAACGAUGGGUACUAAGUAGAGGGGAUUCCGAUAUUCUCUCUGCCGGAGCAAAUGUAUUAAGUACCCCGCCUGGGGAGU